CUGGCUACAUGAUGAAUAAAAUCAAAUCACCAUCUUUCGGCUGAGCUCGUGAUGGAUUUGUUUUUUCUGAUAAAGCUG
ensembl:snoRNA SNORD51 small nucleolar RNA, C/D box 51